rnacentral:rRNA from 1 species
CCCUUAGAUGUUCUGGGCCGCACGCGCGCUACACUGACGGGGACAACGAGUUUGCAACCUGCGCCGGUAGGUGUGGGUAAUCUUUUGAGCCCUCGUCGUGCUGGGGCUAGAUCUUUGUAAUUUUCGAUCUCAAACGAGGAAUUCCUAGUAAGCGUGAUUCAUCAGAUCGCGUUGAUUACGUCCCUGCCCUUUGUACACACCGCCCGUCGCUACUACCGAUUGAACGUUUUAGUGAGGUACUCGGACUGAGCCUCAGAAGAUUCACGUCUUUUGUGCUGCUCGGGAAGAUUCCCAAACUUGAGCGUUUAGAGGAAGUAAAAGUCGUAACA